rnacentral:rRNA from 1 species
UACUGCAAGUCGAGGGGCAGCAGGUCUGUAGCAAUACAGAUGCUGGCGACCGGCAAACGGGUGCGGAACACGUACGCAACCUUCCUUUAGGUGGGGGAUAGCCCAGGGCAAACUUGGAUUAAUACCUCGUAAUAUUAUGAAAUGGCAUCAUUUUAUAAUUAUAGCUCACGCGCUUAAAGAUGGGCGUGCGACUGAUUAUGUAGUUGGCGGGGUAACGGCCCACCAAGCCUACGAUCAUUAACUGGUGUGAGAGCACAACCAGUCGCACGGGCACUGAGACACGGGCCCGACUCCUACGGGAGGCAGCAGUAGGGAAUAUUGGUCAAUGGACGCAAGUCUGAACCAGCCAUGCCGCGUGCAGGAUGAAGGUCCUCUGGAUUGGAAACUUCUUUUAUUUGGGAAUAAACCCAUAUUUUCGAAUGUGGUUGACGGUGCCAGAUGAAUAACCACCGGCUAACUCCGUGCCAGCAUCCGCGGUAAUACUGAGGGUGCACGCGUUAUCCGGAUUCACUGGGUUUAAGGGGUGCGUAGGCGGGUUGGUAAGUCCGUGGUGAAAUCUCCCAGCUGAACUUGUAAACUGCCGUGGAUACUAUCAAUCUCGAGCAUCGUGGAUGGAAGCGAAAUAUGUCAUGUACCGGUGAUAUGCUUAUAUAUGACAUACAACACCAGUUGCAUAGCAGCGUACUACACGAUAUUGAACCUGAGGCCCUAAGCGUGAGGACCAACAGGAUUAGAUCCAUGGUAGGCCCUCCCUACACGAUGGAUACUCGACUCACCGAUUACUGUUGGUGCUGAGCUAAACAUUACUAUCCACCUGGGACUACGACGCUCGAUUCAACUCCACGAUUGACGGGGUCCCAAAUCGCGGACACGUGUUGAAUUAAUGAUCGCGAGGAACUUACUGGGCAGAUGCUGGAGACGACGUGAAGCUCUUUUGCGUAUACCUCCAAUA